GAUUAGAGUUUGAUCCUGGCUCAGAACGAACGCUGGCGGCAUGCCUAACACAUGCAAGUCGAACGAACCCUUCGGGGUUAGUGGCGCACGGGUGCGUAACGCGUGGGGAUCUGCCCUUUGCUUCGGAAUAACAGUUAGAAAUGACUGCUAAUACCGGAUGAUGUCGAAAGACCAAAGAUUUAUCGGCAAAGGAUGAACCCGCGUAGGAUUAGCUAGUUGGUGGGGUAAAGGCCUACCAAGGCGACGAUCCUUAGCUGGUCUGAGAGGAUGAUCAGCCACACUGGGACUGAGACACGGCCCAGACUCCUACGGGAGGCAGCAGUGGGGAAUAUUGGACAAUGGGCGAAAGCCUGAUCCAGCAAUGCCGCGUGAGUGAUGAAGGCCUUCGGGUUGUAAAGCUCUUUUACCAGGGAUGAUAAUGACAGUACCUGAGAAUAG
rnacentral:rRNA from 1 species